GGAAACCGUUGGAUUUGAAAUUCGAAAAUCACCCUCCUCUUAGGAGAUAAGUUUGCCAGCCAAGAAUUGUACCAACUCUCAACAGCUUGGAAAGGAUGGUCGUCCGAUCUUAGAGAAAGAGCGGACAAAAUAGGAGAUUGAGACACUUGGAUUCUCCAAUGACUCCUGGUACGGAAGGAUAAGGAAAAAGGAGAGGACGACACAGCUAGAAGUGUG
rnacentral:misc_RNA from 1 species